UACGAAGGGGGCUAGCGUUGCUCGGAAUUACUGGGCGUAAAGCGCACGUAGGCGGUCUUUUAAGUCGGGGGUGAAAUCCUGGAGCUCAACUCAAGAAAUGCACUUGAUACUGGAUGACUAGAGGACCGGAGAGGAUAGUGGAAUUCCCAGUGUAGUGGUGAAAUACGUAGAGAUUGGGAAGAACACCAGUGGCGAAGGCGGCUAUCUGGACGGUUUCUGACGCUAAGACGCGAAAGCGUGGGGAGCAAACAGG
rnacentral:rRNA from 1 species